GACGAACGCUGGCGGCGUGCUUAACACAUGCAAGUCGAGCGGUAAGGCCCUUUCGGGGGUACACGAGCGGCGAACGGGUGAGUAACACGUGGGUGACCUGCCCUUAGCUCUGGGAUAAGCCUGGGAAACUGGGUCUAAUACCGGAUAUGACUCCAUGACGCAUGUUGUGGGGUGGAAAGCCUUGUGCGGCUAGGGAUGGGCCUGCGGCCUAUCAGCUUGUUGGUGGGGUGAUGGCCUACCAAGGCGACGACGGUAGCCGGCCUGAGAGGGCGACCGGCCACACUGGGACUGAGACACGGCCCAGACUCCUACGGGAGGCAGCAGUGGGGAAUCUUGCGCAAUGGGCGAAAGCCUGACGCAGCGACGCCGCGUGGGGAUGACGGCCU
rnacentral:rRNA from 1 species